rnacentral:rRNA from 1 species
CCUACGGGUGGCAGCAGUGGGGAAUAUUGCACAAUGGGGGAAACCCUGAUGCAGCGACGCCGCGUGAGUGAAGAAGUAUCUCGGUACGUAAAGCUCUAUCAGCAGGGAAGAUAAGGACGGUACCUGACCAAGAAGCCCUGGACAAUUACGUGCCAGCAGGCGCGGUAAUACGCAGGGGGCAAGCGUUAUCCGGAUUUACUGGGUGUAAAGGGAGCGUAGACGGCAGGACAAGUCUGGAGUGAAAUCCCGGGGCUUAACCCCGGAACUGCUUUGGAAACUGGGCGGCUGGAGUGCGGGAGAGGUAAGCGGAAUUCCAGGUGUAGCGGUGAAAUGCGUAGAUAUUGGGAGGAACACCGGUGGCGAAGGCGGCUUACUGGACUGUAACUGACGUUGAGGCUCGAAAGCGUGGGUAGCAAACAGGAUUAGAUACCCUGGUAGUC